AAACCUCAACUUCAUAGUUUUGUUACUAUUACUUUUGAAGCUUGGAUUUGGAAGUUGCUGGCUCAUUAGUAGUCGGCUCUUCUUAAAUGUAUUAGCUGCUUGUCCGUGAGUUGGCUCAGAGUGUGAUAAGUAUCUACACUUGGUGGCUGCUUGCUUUGGAUGUGGCUUCUAAUUGUCCUUAGGGACACUUUCUUACCC
rnacentral:misc_RNA from 1 species